AGUAGAGAGGAAAAGUUAGGGUC
rnacentral:miRNA from 1 species